UCCUAUGGGGCGCAGCAGUUAGGAAUAUUCGGCAAUGGGGGAAACCCUGACCAAGCAAUGCCGCGUGUGAGAUGACGGCCCUAUGGGUUGUAAAUCACUUUUAUUUGGGAAGAACUGUAAGUAGAGGAAAUGAUACUUACUUGACGGUACCUUUUGAAUAAGCCCCGGCUAACUACGUGCCAGCAGCCGCGGUAAUACGUAGGGGGCGAGCGUUAUCCGGAUUUAUUGGGCGUAAAGCGUGCGUAGGCGGUUUGUUAAGUCCAGAAUUAAAGCCCGAGGCUUAACCUCGGUUCGUUCUGGAUACU
rnacentral:rRNA from 1 species